GGGAGGUAGUGACAAUAAAUAACAAUACAGGGCUCUUAUGGGUCUUGUAAUUGGAAUGAGUACAAUUUAAAUCCCUUAACGAGGAACAAUUGGAGGGCAAGUCUGGUGCCAGCAGCCGCGGUAAUUCCAGCUCCAAUAGCGUAUAUUAAAGUUGUUGCAGUUAAAAAGCUCGUAGUUGAAUUUCGGGGUUAGUAGGUUGGUCAUGCCUUUGGUAUGUACUGAUCUCACUGAUUCCUCCCUCUUGACGAACUGUAAUGUCAUUAAUUUGGUGUUGCAGGAAAUCAGGACUGUUACUUUGAAAAAAUUAGAGUGUUUAAAGCAGGCUAAGGCUUGAAUACAUUAGCAUGGAAUAAUGAAAUAGGACGUUUGAUCCUAUUUUGUUGGUUUCUAGGAUUGACGUAAUGAUUAAUAGGGAUAGUUGGG
rnacentral:rRNA from 1 species